rfam:Candidatus Falkowbacteria bacterium RIFOXYD2_FTLL_34_120 rifoxyd2_full_scaffold_172, whole genome shotgun sequence.
CGGAGUGUGGCCUAGCUGGCUAGGGCGCAUGGUUUGGGACCAUGAGAUCCAGGGUUCGAAUCCCUGCACUCCGA